CUCUGACUCUGGUUUUCUGCCAUCUGGAUAGCUCCUUCUCUGGAUCCCCACUAUGAUCUCUAAAGAGCUUACCCUUUGUUUCCUCCUGCUUGGAAGCUUCUCCCCUGUAACUGAUUAUUAACCUCACGCUUGAUCUCUAUUCCUAUCUAGGAAUCUCCUAUUCCAUGCAUUCCUUGUUAUUUAUAUCUUCCUUCACUGAAUACCGUAUAAAGGAAGAUAUAAAAGGGGCAAGUGCCUUCCCUUAUUACAAUUAAUCUGUCUGUGUCUCUCGAUUUAUCAACCCUUUCUCCUGGCUUCUUUCUCCUCCUCAAGUUUCACCCACUAGGAAUUUCUUUUGUGCAGAGGUUGCUGACUGGCCGCUGUAAUACCUCAGAAGUUACUCAGGGAAUCUCUGAUAUAUCAGAUUUUAGGUGGAGCAAGGAUUACAAAAUGUGACCUGGAGACAAGAAAACUCUGCAUCUGGUCUCAGACACUUAAUAUCUGGAUUACUCUGGGCAAGUCAUUUAACCUGUAUUUCUCUCAAUGUCAUCAUCUAUAAAAUGGGAAUAAUAGUAGUUAAAAUAA
rnacentral:lncRNA from 1 species